UAAUACAGAGGUGCCAAGCGUUAGGCGGAAUCACUGGGCUUAAAGCGCGUGUAGGUGGACGGGUAAGUAUCUUGUGAAAUCCCACGGCUCAACCGUGGAACUGCUGGAUAUACUGCUUGUCUUGAGGCACUUAGGGGCAGCUGGAACAAAUGGUGGAGCGGUGAAAUGCGUAGAUAUCAUUUGGAACGCCAAAGGCGAAAGCAGGCUGCUGGGAGUGAUCUGACACUGAGACGCGAAAGCCAGGGGAGCAAACGGGAUUAGAUACCCCGGUAGUCCUGGCCCUAAACGAUGUCCACUAGAUUGUGGCGGCUCUGACGCCGUCAUGGUCGAAGCAAAAGUGUUAAGUGGACCGCCUGGGAAGUACGGUCGCAAGGCUA
rnacentral:rRNA from 1 species